rfam:Triticum aestivum genome assembly, contig: Triticum_aestivum_CS42_TGACv1_scaffold_226233_3B
AUAAUACUCCCCCGUCCCGAAAUUCUUGUCUUAGAUUUGGCUAAAUACGGAUAUAUCAAGUCACAUUUUAGUAUUAGAUACAUCUAUAUCUAGACAAAUUUAAGACAAGAAUUUUGGGACGAAGGGAGUAGUAU